UGCAGUCGAACGAGACCUUCGGGUCUAGUGGCGCACGGGUGAGUAACGCGUGGAAACCUACCAUUCUGUACGGAAUAACGAUUGGAAACGAUCGCUAAUACCGUAUACGCCCUGUGGGGGAAAGGUCCGCCGCAGAAUGAGGGGUCCGCGUCCGAUUAGCUUGUUGGUGGGGUAAAAGCCUACCAAGGCGAUGAUCGGUAGCUGGUCUGAGAGGAUGAUCAGCCACACUGGGACUGAGACACGGCCCAGACUCCUACGGGAGGCAGCAGUGGGGAAUAUUGGACAAUGGGGGCAACCCUGAUCCAGCAAUGCCGCGUGUGUGAAGAAGGCCUUAGGGUUGUAAAGCACUUUCAAAUGGUGAAAGAUGAUGACGGUAGCCCGUAGAAAGAAGCCCCCGGCUAAACUUUCGUGCCCAGCAGCCCGCGGGUAAAUACGAAAGGGGGCGAGCGUUGGUUCGGAAUUUACUGGGGCGUAAAGGGGCGGCGCAAGGCGGGCCAAUCCCAGUCAGGUGUUGAAAAGCCCCCGGGCUUAACCCUGGGAAACUGCACUUGAUUACUGAUUGGGCUAGAAAAACGGGAGAAGGGCAGUGGAAUUCCCAGUGUGAGAGGUUGAAAUUUCGUAGAUAUUGGGAAGAAACACCAGUGGC
rnacentral:rRNA from 1 species